rnacentral:rRNA from 1 species
AAAUUGAAGAGUUUGAUCAUGGCUCAGAUUGAACGCUGGCGGCAGGCCUAACACAUGCAAGUCGAACGGUAACAGGAAGCAGCUUGCUGUUUCGCUGACGAGUGGCGGACGGGUGAGUAAUGUCUGGGAAACUGCCUGAUGGAGGGGGAUAACUACUGGAAACGGUGGCUAAUACCGCAUAACGUCGCAAGACCAAAGAGGGGGACCUUCGGGCCUCUUGCCAUCAGAUGUGCCCAGAUGGGAUUAGCUUGUUGGUGAGGUAACGGCUCACCAAGGCGACGAUCCCUAGCUGGUCUGAGAGGAUGACCAGCCACACUGGAACUGAGACACGGUCCAGACUCCUACGGGAGGCAGCAGUGGGGAAUAUUGCACAAUGGGCGCAAGCCUGAUGCAGCCAUGCCGCGUGUAUGAAGAAGGCCUUCGGGUUGUAAAGUACUUUCAGCGGGGAGGAAGGUGUUGUGGUUAAUAACCACAGCAAUUGACGUUACCCGCAGAAGA